GAUUAUUUAGUUUAUAUAAAAACAAGUGUUUUGAAAGCAUUAGAAAAGUAGUACUUAAUAAUCG
rnacentral:tRNA from 1 species